rnacentral:lncRNA from 1 species
CCCUGCUGGUUCCCUCUUCAGCUGCUGCGUCUCUCCCAACCUGUGUGAGCCCUUUCACCUCCCUGUUGGUUCCCUCUUCCGCUGCUGCGUCUCUCCCAACCUGUGUGAGCCCUUUCACCUCCCUUCCGUCCGAUGGCAGUUCCCUGACAGGCUCGGAGGGGCUCAGAAGUUGAACAUACCUGUGCUGGGAAAAUCCCUUAUUUUGGCUGCUGAUCCCUUAUUUUUGAGGCUGCUGGUCCCUUAUUUUCAAAUCUGUAAGUUGACAGCUAUGGCCCAUCUUCAGUUUUUCUUUAACGUCAGAGACGUCCCUUUCCCAGAGAAUUGUUCUCUGCCUUCCACUGGUGUCGUUAGGGGAAACCAAAAUCUGUCAGCCUGUGCAGUUUGCAUCAUGGUUUUGUUCCCACUGAGAAUGACGCUUGAGAGUGGUCUUCGCCGAGUUAAUAAACUUGCAACUCUGCUAUGCCGCUUAAUAAAUACUUGCAUGACCAGAUGCACGUCCUCUAUAUUAAAAGAAGUUCUUUGCACUUAGAAAAAUAGCAUUUCAGGGAUGAGGUGAGGAUGAAAUGCUGCUUUUAUGCUCUCU